CAAUAGCGUAUAUUAAAGUUGUUGCAGUUAAAAAGCUCGUAGUUGGAUUUCGGGGCAGCCUGGCUGGUCCGCCGCAAGGCGAGUACUGGUCAGCCGCCCUUCCUCUCGAAAGCCCCGACUGCUCUUCGUUGCAGUGGUCGGGUAGUUCGGGACGUUUACUUUGAAAAAAUUAGAGGGUUCAAGGCAGGCCUACGCCUGAAUACAUUAGCAUGGAAUAAUGGAAGAGGACCUCGGUCCUAUUUUGUUGGUUUCCAGGGCCGAAGUAAUGAUUAAGAGGGACAGUUGGGGGCAUUCGUAUUUAAUUGUCAGAGGUGAAAUUCUCGGAUUUAUGAAAGACGAACAACUGCGAAAGCAUUUGCCAAGGAUGUUUUCAUUAA
rnacentral:rRNA from 1 species